UACGUAGGGUGCGAGCGUUAAUCGGAAUUACUGGGCGUAAAGCGCGGGCAGGCGGCUCCGUAAGUCGGCCGUGAAAGCGCCGGGCUCAACUCGGCGAGGACGGGCGAGACUGCGGGGCUCGAGCAAGGCAGAGGGCGGUGGAAUUCCGGGUGUAGUGGUGGAAUGCGUAGAGCUCCGGAGGAACACCAGUGGCGAAGGCGGCCGCCUGGGCCUUUGCUGACGCUGAGCCGCGAAAGCGUGGGGAGCGAGCCGG
rnacentral:rRNA from 1 species